AGUUAGAGGCGCGAUUGUCAUACGUAGCACGGCGGAGGGGACCCACCCCGGAGAAGCCGCGCGAGGGGGCUGUCGCCGAAACGGAACUUUGCCGCGGGAGGCGGUUCUGUUGGGCGCCGGGAGAAUAUCUCGGCGACUGUCACAAGGAUUCCUUGUGGAGUGCUACUUC
rnacentral:ncRNA from 1 species